AUUGAACGCUGGCGGCAGGCCUAACACAUGCAAGUCGAACGGUAGCACAGAGAGCUUGCUCUCGGGUGACGAGUGGCGGACGGGUGAGUAACGUCUGGGAAACUGCCCGAUGGAGGGGGAUAACUACUGGAAACGGUAGCUAAUACCGCAUAACGUCGCAAGACCAAAGUGGGGGACCUUCGGGCCUCACACCAUCGGAUGUGCCCAGAUGGGAUUAGCUAGUAGGUGGGGUAAUGGAUCACCUAGGCGACGAUCCCUAGCUGGUCUGAGAGGAUGACCAGCCACACUGGAACUGAGACACGGUCCAGACUCCUACGGGAGGCAGCAGUGGGGAAUAUUGCACAAUGGGCGCAAGCCUGAUGCAGCCAUGCCGCGUGUAUGAAGAAGGCCUUCGGGUUGUAAAGUACUUUCAGCGGGGAGGAAGGCGGUGAAGUUAAUAGCUUCACCGAUUGACGUUACCCGCAGAAGAAGCACCGGCUAACUCCGUGCCAGCCGCCGCAGUAA
rnacentral:rRNA from 1 species